rnacentral:rRNA from 1 species
UAGAACCGCAAGAUGUGGGCGUGCCCGAAAGGGAAACCUAGACACAGGUGCUGCAUGGCUGUCGCUCAUCUCGUGUCGUGAGAUGUUGGGUUAAGUCCCGCAACGAGCGCAACCCUUGCCAUUAGUUGCUACAUUCAGUUGGGCACUCUAAUGGGACCGCCGGUGACAAACCGGAGGAAGGUGGGGAUGACGUCAAGUCCUCAUGGCCCUUAUGGGUAGGGCUUCACACGUAAUACAAUGGUCGGUACAGAGGGCUGCCAACCCGCAAGGGGGAGCUAAUCCCAGAAAGCCGAUCGUGUCCGGAUUGUAGUCUGCAACUCGACUGCAUGAAGCCGGAAUCGCUAGUAAUCGCGGAUCAGCAUGUCGCGGUGAAUACGUUCCCGGGUCUUGUACACACCGCCCGUCACACCAUGGGAGUGGGUUCCACCAGAAGUAGUUAGCCUAACCGCAAGGAGGGCGAUUACCACGGUGAGAUUCAUGACUGGGGUGAAGUCGUCGUA